UUUGCAUAGUGAUAGAUAUUUCCAUCAAACCAUUCAAUAGGAAAAAAUGCACCCAAUACCGGUUGCUGAUCAAGAUUAUUUUUGUCUCUGGCAACGUUUUGAAACACGUAUGACCGAAACGGAACGCACCUAGUAAAAAAAAAAGGAAACGUCAACUGUCAAACGUCAGUCAAAAUUUGGUAAGCUCAAGUUCGUUGGUUUCGUUGUAACGUUGCAUAAAAUUAUCAAGUUUUUUAAAGGUUUUUGCCUAUAGAAGUCUGAGAAAAAAUUCAUAAUGCAUAGAAGUAGGGUAAGUAUUGUGGAAACUGUUGAUAUUUGUGGAAAAAAAAAAACAUGUAAAUAGUAACUAAAAUAAUGCGAAAUAGGAUAAUUAUGCAGUAUUGUCAUCCUUGAAGUAUGAAGAAAUUUAGGUUCAUGUAAUUUCACUUUGUUUAUGUAUUUUUCUGCUGUUUGAGAAUAUUAUCAAUGAUAAUGACAUAGAACACUAUCUAGCACAGCUGGAAGAUGGACUGGAGGCAGAAGAUUUUGAAGAUGAUGAGCCACCAAAUCCCCACUAUACUAGGGAUGAACUUCUAAGUCUAUUAUAUGAUAACAAUAGUGAUGAAGACAGUCAGAAAGAAAAUGAAAAUGAUCCUCCUCUUGUUGAAGAACUGGUGGAAGAACGAGAAAGUCAAAGCAGAGUUCCUUGUGGUGAAAUUUUCAAUACAUUAUUGGACAAAAGAAAACUUAUUUGGAAAAACAAGGACAUGAACUUUGAUGAGGAUCGAAUUACUUUCUUAGGCAGCUCAGCUUUUCCAUCAGAAAUUUCACAGCUUGAAACUCCUUACCAAUGUUUCAAAUAUUUUUUUGAUGAUUUUAUUCAGGAAAUUUUACUCAAACUAAUUUGUAUGUCAUGCAGAAAGAUCUUAAUAAAAAAAUAAUUUAUACAGCAUCAGAUAUCAAAAAGUUUUUUGAGAUAUUAUUAUUCAUGUCUGUGCAAAGAUUUCAAAAUACCAGAUCAUAUUGGUCUCCUGUUUUCAUUGUACUUUCAAAAUAAUGAAAAUCACAAGCCUUGUAGACCAUGCGAUCACGACAGGUUAUUUAAAAUACGACCAGUUAUUGAGCACCUCAAAGCUAAAUUUUCUACCAUACCUAUGGAACAAAGACUGUCAGUAGAUGAGCAGAUGUGUGCCACAAAAGUGACACAUUUCUUAAAACAAUACCGGCCUAAUAAACCCCACAAAUGGGGUUUUAAAUUUUAUGUACUCUGUGAUUUAUCAGGAUAUGCUCAUACAUUCGAAUUGUAUUCAGGACAGGAAAAUACAGGAAGACUGGAAGGAGAACCUGAUCUGGGAGCCACAGGAAAUGUUGUCAUUCAUUUGCUAAGAGGUGUGCCAAGACAUCAAAAUCACAUAAUAUACUUAAACAAUUUCUACACAUCAAUGCCCCUGGUUCAUCAUUUAGCCAAGCAAGGUAUUCAAUCUGUGGGUACUGUACAACAAAAUCAAAAUUACUAAACAAAAAAAGAGUUAAUGAAAAAGUCAAUAUCUAGAGGAAGUCAUGUAAAAAAAAACAACAUUUGAUGGUAUUGAUAUGUCUUGUGUCACCCGGAAAGACAACAAAAUGGUGACAAUUUUAUCCACAUAUCCAACACCAGUAUCUAGUGUCACUAGAUAUGACAAAGCAAAGAAGGAAAAGGUAGAAAUUUCAUGUCCAAAAAUUGUCCAAAAAUAUAACAAACAUAUGGGGGGGGGGGGGGGUGGAUUUAAUGGAGUUUUUUGGGGAGGCUCCAUAUUACUGUAAGGCCAAAAAAAGGUAUUUACGUAUUUUCUUUCAUUUGCUUGAUCUUACGGUAAUAAAUACGUGAUCAUUUACAAAAAAAAUGCAAUGAUGCGAAAUAUGCCAAAAAAUAAUAUAUUUUCCAUGGGCAAUUUCGUAAUGAUUUGGCUCAACUUUUGUGCUCAAUAGGAUCCAACACAGAGGUCAAAAGAGGACCAAAAAAGAAGAGAGGGCCUACAGUUGUUCCUCCACUAAGACAUUAGAAGAAUGGUAGUGACCAUUGGCCACAAGUUGGCGUUUCACUGCGAUGCAAAAACCCAAACUGUAAAGGAUACUCCACAAUCAGCUGCAACAAAUGUAGGGUUCUUAUGCCUUAAUAAAAACAAAAAUAGGUUAUUUUCAUCAAAAUUGAAAUUAUUAAUUACUUUGCAUAUUAUUUUAGUUUGUACUAAGCUCAUUUCAUUCUGCAUAAUGAUGGAAAUUUAAAUUUAAUAAAAAAAUAACACAAA